UACGAAGGGUGCAAGCGUUACUCGGAAUUACUGGGCGUAAAGCGUGCGUAGGUGGUUUGUUAAGUCUGAUGUGAAAGCCCUGGGCUCAACCUGGGAAUUGCAUUGGAUACUGGCAGGCUAGAGUGCGGUAGAGGGUAGUGGAAUUCCCGGUGUAGCAGUGAAAUGCGUAGAGAUCGGGAGGAACACCAGUGGCGAAGGCGGCGACCUGGACAGGCACGUGACACUCAACUACGAAAGCGUGGGAG
rnacentral:rRNA from 1 species